CGCUCGCGCCUCCGCCCCGCGCCUCCCCCGCGCCCAGCUCCUCCCGCCUCGCUGCCGCCUCCUCUCCCCUCCCGCGCGCCUCCUCUCCUCCCACCCACAUCGCCGCCGCCACCACCCACCGCCACCUAGAUGACAGCACCGGCGCUGGCGCUCGUGGUGGUCGGGUGCUGCGCUACCUGCCGCCACCGCUGCGCUCGCCCUGGUGUCUCCUUCUCCACACCCCCUUGGCCCUCAGCAAGAGGGGUGCUGCUCGCCGCCUGGCCUCACGGGAGUGGUCGCCACCCCGCCGUCUUCGGAUCCGGCCGCCGCCGCCAUCUCUAUUCUUGCGCCGGGUGGAUCGGUGUCAUGGAGAGGACGCAGAUGGACGCCAAGGCCGUGGGCUCCAGUUCAAGGCAAGGGCCAGCGGCACCGAGCCAGCGCCCACCUUCCGGUGCGAGUUGCAGCUGCCCAAGGGUGAACAUGUCAGCUCCAUGGCCGUCAUCGCCAAGCUGCCCAGAGUAGGAGUGGCCUACAAACAUGAAUCCAAGCAGUCUGACAGGGGAGGAUACACCUCUCAUGAUGUUGUGUUCUUCAGUUUUGCAGGAACUGCACACAUAUCAAAUUCCAAUUAUUCAUUCAUCUAUUGUUGUUCUCACGUUGCCUCAUUCGUGUCUUUCAAGGCCAAUGCAAUUUUUUGUCAAGAACAUUGUCAUUCCGGCUGUUGUCAUCAUGUAGACAGUGGGCUCAUCUGUUUUCUGCUGUGCUACUAGAGGCGAACUAUGAAAGUGGCGACAGUCGAUGACCCGAUCUACUUCAGUGAUGAUAAAGAUACGUUCAAUGAUGCUGUGUUCGUGAUGGUUGGUUCAGUUAUUCAGAUAAAGUUGAUGUAUUAAUCUACUCUCACUCUUUUUACGGAUCCAACCACGACUACAACAUGAAAGGGGGCAAGGAUCAGUGACCCUAUACACAUCAACGGUGAGAAAGAGAACUUAUGCCACAAGAAAAAAACAGGGGUGGUCUGUUGAGAGAACUAUAGCCGCAAGAAAAAUCAGGUUGUGCUUUAGUCAUUGGCUAUGGUCAUUGGUAUGAUGCACGCAUUACGCUAUGCAUUGGUGAUAAGGCUAUUGUUCUCUUAAACUGGUAAUAUUGAUCUCUUGUCUUGAAUGAUGUAAUGUUAACAGAUAGCCAUGCUAGAAUCAACUUGGUUUAUAAUAGGUUCAUCAACUUUAUGUUUCGCCACCGUGCAAUGUACUCUCUCUUUCUCUCACUGAUUCUAUCUAGAGAGCAGUCUAUCGAUAAUCUUCAAGGCCAGCACUGCCACAUGUUUCAUGUUCUCGGUGUACAAUAUAUUACUUGGUCAUGUGACUUGCCUAUGCAAGAUUUAAUUAUUACUAGGUUUAAUAUGGUUGCUGCCAUGCGCAAGUCAGCAUUUACUGAUCUAGUUCCAUAUUCCGAGGAGAAGGGCUUAAAUGAUGUAUGUGAAUAAAAGGGCACCAUUAAUAGGCCUUUUCUAUUUGGUCAUUUGAUUGCACCAAAGAUUUAUUAUUUCCACUGCUUUAAGGAUACAACCAAUGAGGCAAUUUCUGAAGGCCUGGCACAUACUGUUUCCAAAUAUAUUAUAUACCUAACUAAUCAUUUGGCGUCUCAGGCGCAAGAGCUUGAGGCGUUUGCACAAAUUGCUUUCUUCACACAAGGCCAUGGAUUUGAUCAUCGAUGGACGUCACCGACCACCUAUUCUAACUCUGGCAAGUACCCGAUGAUACAUGAUCCCACCAGCUCUUGUGAUGUACCAUGUAAACUACCGUGUGAUCUGCCUUUUUUUGUGAACACGGCCUCUUUGGCACGUCUAUCCAUCCUUUUGUACUCAAUAUCUACCUUGUACAAAUAUUGCAUCCUUUAUUUUACCAUGUAUGAACAUUUACAUCCUUUAAAUGUGUUUACUAUCGUUUUGGUCGCUA